UACGAGGGGAGCAAGCGUUGUUCGGAUUUACUGGGCGUAAAGGGCGCGUAGGCGGUCGUGACAAGUCACUUGUGAAAUCUCCGGGCUUAACUCGGAACGGUCAAGUGAUACUGUCGGACUAGAGUACAGAAGGGGCAACUGGAAUUCUCGGUGUAGCGGUGAAAUGCGUAGAUAUCGAGAGGAACACCUGCGGCGAAGGCGGGUUGCUGGGCUGAUACUGACGCUGAUGCGCGAAAGCCAGGGGAGCGAACAGG
rnacentral:rRNA from 1 species